ensembl:lncRNA
UUUGUUUUCGCAUUUGUUCUGGGUGCUGGCUGUCCCAGCGCCACCUCCUGCCGUGCGUGCGUCAGCCCCGCUGAGGUCACCCGCUGCCCUGCCUUGGCUACGCGGGCACAGAUGACUCAGCGGCGGGCGAACAGCCCUGCGUGGUUACGGCUUCGGGGUCCUUCUCGCCUUGGAGGUGGGGUGACUUGGAACCGCAGUCUCUUCUGUUUCAGGGUUAGGCUGACAUCCCUGCCGGCAGAAAUAGCAGAGACCAAGCAUGGAGGCCCAGGACCAAGUUUCUUGUUCCAUUUGCCUAACAAGGCAGCCUGCUAGGAGGAAGUAAGGAAGUACCAGGUGGGUGGAGCACGUGCUGGAGGACCGCGGUACCAAGCACAGAGGUGACCAGGAGUCCAAGGAGCAUCCCAAGUGGCCGCAGGCAGAGGGGACUGACGGGCUGCACAGCACUCAUGGGAGGGCUUCUGGGUGGGGGCGGCCUGAAUUAAACCUAAGUCCUCACCUCUUUGAACUGUUUUUUUUUUUUCACCCAUGAAACGACCAGAAUAUGAAAUAAGACGCAGCAAGGUCACAAUAAAAACUGAACAAAGCCAGCACAGGGAAAAAAAUUCCUAUCAUUUCUCUAGCCUGAGUCUCUCUCUCCGACGGGAGAACACGCCCACUCCUGGGCGACCUGCAGUCGCUGCCCCUGGCCUGCAGGCUCGGGGAAGGCAGGCGCUGCAGCCCGGCUCCCAGAGGGGUGGGGCCGCCAACUUCCGCAGCAGUCGGGACGGCCGGGACCUGACCUUGGGUGAGGCCUCACACUGCCCGGCCGCAAAGCAGGACCAUCCCAGCGCGCACACACAGCGCCUCGCUCCCUCCCUCCAUCCCGCGCACGGCGUCCGAGGCCCGGCCGCCCCUCCCCGCGGUCCCCGGGGAGGGCCGCGUCCUGCGCCCCUGCGCUCGGCCGAGGGUCUCCGGCGCGCACCGGCCGGGACCGCCGCCCCUUUGUCCCGCGGGCCAAUGGGUAGCCUGCUUGACUAAAUAAGGCGAGGAGCGCCUCGUCCGUUACGUCCGCCCCCGUGACUCAGGGCGGCCGCGGGCCUCGGGCUGCGGGCGGAGCGCGCACGGGUCCAAAUCGCCAAAUAUGGCCGCGCGCCGCGCCGCGCCCUCCCCCCGCACACCUGAGCCGCACCUGGCCCGCGCGGCGCCGGGGGGACAAGGCGCCCCCGCCGGCGGCCUCACGGAGCCGUCCCUGAGGGCAGCGCCUCGGGCACACGGGCACACAAAGGCGCCCUACAGAGAGCCGGGGUUUGGGUAGCCAGGGGCGUGAGAGACGGUCACCGAAACCGCCCACGGUCCCCGCGACUCUCAGUCUGGGCCACCACAUCGUGGGACCCGCCCACCCCACCCGCGGGAGGCCGCGAGGCUCAGGGUGGCCACCCAGGCCAUGGUGCAGCCCGCGCGCCCGUGGCCGGUGGUGCACACCUGGGACAGCCGCGUUGGCCACCCCGGUGAGACCAGGCCAAUGGCGGGCCCGGCGCCCCCGUCUCCAGCCUGGUGACCAGGUGCCUGCUGGCACGGGCCUGGGGGACCGCGGGGAGCCCCGGCAGGCUGCUUGGCCCGCUGGGGUCACACGGGGAGCUGAGCUUGCGGGGCUGGGGGCGCACCAGGGCGCGGCGCCCGGUGGGGAGUGGGACCUCGCCCCCUUCCGCAGACUCCAGCUGGUGGCCCUGCGACCUUGGAGCUCGCGGCCCCCGGUGCCCAACGCUACACUGAACAAUCCCCGCAGCUCACACACAGAACCCAGGGAGCGACCAAGGCGGGCGGGCACCGCAAGGUGCGGGCACGACCCUGCCAAGGCUGACAGGGCUCCUUCCCAGCGCCGUGCGAUGGGGACAAGGGCAGGACGCC